AACGUAGGACACGAGCGUUAUCCGGAGUUACUGGGCGUAAAGGGCGCGUAGGCGGCGCAACAAGUCACUUGUGAAAUCUCCGGGCUUAACCCGGAGCGGCCAAGUGAUACUGUCGUGCUAGAGUGCGGAAGGGGCUACUGGAAUUCUCGGUGUAGCGGUGAAAUGCGUAGAUAUCGAGAGGAACACCUGCGGCGAAGGCGGGUAGCUGGGCCGACACUGACGCUGAGGCGCGAAAGCCAGGGGAGCGAACGGG
rnacentral:rRNA from 1 species